rnacentral:misc_RNA from 1 species
GGGGGAUGAUCUUUCGGGUCUAGUCCAAUUGACGUAGCCUUUGUAGUAGGGGCUUUCCUUUCUUCAUUUUUUCUAGCUUCUUUACCGGAUAAAAUGACAACCGCUUUAUUAUCGAGGUACUCUUCUUUGAGAUCUCUAGCACCAUUUCCGGUCUUUACGGGGCGGGGCAUUUGCUUUUUUGCUUUAGUACCUCCUGCCUAGUUACAAGCUCUACAGUCCUAAAGUAGUAAAUGGAGUCUCUCCGUCUGUCGGUCUCUCCUUAAGUUCUUUCUUUCGAUCGAGUUCAUGUGCUUGCGUGGCUAGGCCCAUAGACCCAGCUUUUCCUGGCUCAAAGAAUUCAUUUUCGUUCUUGCUUCACUUGUCUUUGCCCAUUGGGGUCUUUCCUCUUGCUUGAGCCAGUCUACCCUCUUUC